CUGCAGCCAAGUAAGCUGACGGGGUUCCUUUCCUCAAGGUGGCCCAGUGCGCAAUGGCUGCAAACAGCAGCCUCCUCGGUAGUGCAGUAAGUAACCUGUUGCUUGUACAAGUGGCCCUAAGGGACCUUGGAGACAGUU
ensembl:snoRNA SNORA70 Small nucleolar RNA SNORA70